AUCGCUUCUCGGCCUUUUGGCUAAGAUCAAGUGUAGUAUCUGUUCUUAUCAGUUUAAUAUCUGAUACGUCCUCUAUCUGAGGACAAUAUAUUAAAUGGAUUUUUGAACGGGAGAUGGAAUAGGAGCUUGCUCCGUCCACUCCACGCAUCGACCCAGUAUUGCAGUACUUCUGGGAACGGUGCACUUCCC
rnacentral:snRNA from 1 species